rnacentral:pre_miRNA from 1 species
AUGUAGGGCAAUCUGUCUUUAAGUAGAGUAAAUUACUUUAAAAAAAAUAAAUCCUAGGUAGUUUUUCCUUCAAGUGUCUUGU